rnacentral:rRNA from 1 species
AACGAACGCUGGCGGCAUGCCUAACACAUGCAAGUCGAACGAGACCUUCGGGUCUAGUGGCGCACGGGUGCGUAACGCGUGGGAACCUGCCCUUAGGUUCGGAAUAACUCCCCGACAGGGGUGCUAAUACCGGAUAAUGUCUUCGGACCAAAGAUUUAUCGCCUUUGGAUGGGCCCGCGUUGGAUUAGCUAGUUGGUAGGGUAAAAGCCUACCAAGGCGACGAUCCAUAGCUGGUCUGAGAGGAUGAUCAGCCACACUGGGACUGAGACACGGCCCAGAAUCCUACGGGAGGCAGCAGUGGGGAAUAUUGGACAAUGGGCGAAAGCCUGACCCAGCAAUGCCGCGUGAGUGAUGAAGGCCUUAGGGUUGUAAAGCUCUUUUACCCGGGAUGAUAAUGACAGUACCGGGAGAAUAAGCUCCGGCUAACUCCGUG